rnacentral:lncRNA from 1 species
AUGCUGAUGAAGACAACAUCCAUGGGAUUGAUGGAGGAAGAAAAUGCACUCAAUAAAAAUUCACAGAGAAAAGCUGCCUUACUUUCUAAUCCAGCUGUAGUGAAGACAGACAACAGUCAAGUUAACAACUGCACUGUGGAAGCUGAAGCUUGUGAAUUACUGCAGGGACGGUCAACAAGAAGCUACACCAUAUUGCCCAUAUUCAUGACUGAUCAGCAGGAGAAGUUCAUACCACUUGAGCUGGAUCUAUCUGCACAUGCACCUGGCCCAGGAAGCUGUAAUGGGAGAUCUGAUGAGCAGUGGAGAACUGAACCAAAGCCCUUGGCUUUUGCUCCAUACCAGUCAGAAUCUCAUCAUGAUAUCGUGUUGCAUUGA